GACGAACGCUGGCGGCGUGCUUAACACAUGCAAGUCGAGCGAUGAAGUUCCUUCGGGAAUGGAUUAGCGGCGGACGGGUGAGUAACACGUGGGUAACCUGCCUCAUAGAGGGGAAUAGCCUUCCGAAAGGAAGAUUAAUACCGCAUAAGAUUGUAGUAUCGCAUGAUACAGCAAUUAAAGGAGCAAUCCGCUAUGAGAUGACCCGCGUCGCAUUAGCUAGUUGGUGAGGUAACGGCUCACCAAGGCGACGAUGCGUAGCCGACCUGAGAGGGUGAUCGGCCACAUGGUGACUGAGAAAAGGCCCCAACACCUACGGGAGGCAGCAGAGGGGAAUAGUGCAGAAUGGGGGAAACCCUGAUGCAGCAACGCCGCGUGAGUGAUGAAGGUCUUCGGAUUGUAAAACUCUGUCUUCAGGGACGAUAAUGACGGUACCUGAGGAGGAAGCCACGGCUAACUACGUGCCAGCAGCCGCCGUAACAC
rnacentral:rRNA from 1 species